CCCCACACCUCGCCCCACCUAUUCCCUACAACCUCCUCGCCAGCCAUCGCCUCGACCGCCGCUGGAUAACCUCCACAUGUGCCUCUCCACAAGCGCCGCUGGUCAGCCAUGCCGUCCACGCGCCACCGUGCCAUCGCGCUGUCCGCACCCGCGCCGCCCGGACCGCCGCGCCAUCCACGCGCCGACCCCGUUCGAUCUAACCUACGAGGGGUUGCCCCGACCCCGUUCCUCGAGUUGGCCGUGGAAGAGAGAGAGAACGAGACGGCAAUGGUGGAUCUAGACGAGGGGUUGCCGUCCCUUUCAUUGCAUCCACCAGAAGAGAGAGAUCGAAGGGAAGAAGCUUGACGACGGUGCCCCGGCCCGGCGCCUCUCCGCACCCGCUCCCUGGCAGUGCGCCUCCGCACCAGGCGGCCCUUGCUCCUUCGCCAGCGCACCACCGCGCCUGGCCACCGCUGCUCCUCCGCCAGAGCCCUGCCGCACCCGGCCGCAGCCUCACGCGUCUCCGCGCUGGCCCUCCACGCCUCCCCGCGCACGGCGCUGACGGCCGUCCACACCUCCCACGACAUACUCGGGGAGCUCACUGGCGCGCCGAUGACACCCAUAUCCUUUACAGUAAAUCAUCUUCCGGUAUUCAUGUUCAGUUAUAGGCUUGUACUGAUUUCUUCACUUCCACAAGUAUUUAUGUUCAGUUGUAUGCUUCUACUGAUUUCUUAACUUCCGCAUGGUUUUACCUUCAUCCACAUGCAUCUUGACGGUCAUAAAAACAAACACUACAUGCUGUUUUAUCAUCUCAAUAAUGUUCAAAUGCAUUUAGGGGAUUUUCUGAUUUUCACAAUAAAAAACAACUUCUGUUGAAGAUAAACAUCAUGACAAAUGCUGCCAAACCAGAAGCAAAAUCACCUAACAAAUAUAAUGCAAUCAGAUUUAAUCCUGAAUCUCUCAUCAGUGCAGAGAUGAGUGGACGUUCCAAAAGCUUUGUCUCAGUUCCCUGCUGGUUCGAGAUCCGCACAAGUUUGCUCCCUUCCGUCAUCGGCCUCAUCUAAAGGUAUUCUUCCCCAGCCUUGUCGUUCUGCAAGAGACGCUUAAAUAUAUCGACAUGGAUCUCCACAGACGAAGUUUUGCACUCAUAUGGCGCAUUAUUUUUCUGUUCCACCUCCAUUUAGUUUCGACUGUAGUUACCUGAUAAACCGUGGAGGACAAGCGCCCUAGCAAACCAUAGAAAUUUAUUGUCAGAACUGUUGUUUAUGCUUGUUUGAUUCUGAUGCUUCCAGUUGGCAUUUGCGUAUCAUCUUUUCAUAGUUGUUGAGGCGCUUCUUUUCUUAAAAGUUGUACGCAUACAAGCUGCACCCGUGAGUGAGCACAAUUGUCCUAUGGCACAUAAUUUAGAGUUUAACUUUUUAAUACUUAAGAAGUGCUAUUUUCCUUGAAAUUUGUACAAAUACAUGCUUCUGCUCUGAGUCAGCACAACUAUCAAAAUUCAGAGUUUUGCUACACAUUCAGAUUACUGAUAAUGCCAUAAUUGCAAAUACUUUAGAGGCAUGCCAUGUAAUUGCAACUAUUAUGAAUAAUAAGGUCAUAUAUUUUUUGUAAUUUUCAUCCUUUGAUCGGUCUAUUCUGCGUUGAAGGUCCCGUUCAACUCUGGCAAAUACAGCUGGAGCCUCAAUUGUACGUGUGCUUCAAUCUAUUUUCAUGUUGUUUUCUUGGGCCUUAGUUUUUUUUUCUUGGGUGUUUGACGAACGCUUCACAAAUUAAGCUCCUGUUAACAAUUUCAGAGGUGUUGGUUGGCCUGCAGCUCGUGUGGGCCGAGGUGAAGGGCCAGUUCUUUUGGGUGAUUCAACCAGAAUCGCUCCCCUCCCCAGCUUCUCCUAGAAUCACCACUCCAUAUGUUUUUUACAAUCCUAGCUAAUUAGACCUUAACUAGAUAGGAUUGUAAAAAAAAUAUGGAGUGGCGAUUCUGGGAGAAGCUGGGGAGGGGGUGAUUCUGGGAGAAUCGCCGAAAAGAACUGGCCCGAAGCACGCUUUAGUCUGUCCCUCAGAAGUUGUUGCCGCCCUCCUUGCUGCCACUGCCGGAGACGAAACAUGGAACAUGGUGGUAACUAAGGUAUAUCUAUGCUGUAGUCGACAAGGGGGCCUACCUAUGAUGCCCGUGCAGUUCAAAAUGUUUGCAGGCCAGCCUAUGAUGUCGGGUUGGAGGCAUAAUUAUGAUGUCAGGUUGUUGUACACGGAAAUUUUGUGGGAUAUUUCUUGCAGAUUGGGAGUUUAUGUUUUUCUUCGUUAGCUUUUAAGAUUGUUGUAGUUAAAACAUGAGAUGGAAGCCUCAGAUUGAAUACUGAGCUAUGUUACAGAUUUACAGUAGUGGCUAUCUUCUACAUCAGCCUCUGUUUAAAUAGUUUAUUUUAUAUGUUUGUUCAUGGAAGUUGAUUAUCCUCGCAUACAACUACCCUCAGCUCAGGAAGCCUCAGAUUGAAUACAGAGCUAUGUUGCCAAGGAUUUAGAAGGAAUUAUUUCCAUAUAAGUAAGAUUAUUUGAUCCUGUUCUGAAAUACUUUUUAAUGCUUAUAUUUGGAUGCGCAUGAUGUGGUGCAGGUUCCACCGAUUCUGGAAGCACACGGCUGAAUGGAAUCCAACAGAACCGAUGCUACAUCUAUAGCAUCCUAUAUUAGUGAUACAUGUUUAAUUCGGUGAUAACAGAUAUAUCAUCCUAUUUUUUUCAUUUGCAUGGUUCCUUUCCAUUGAUGUUGUAGUUGGUACUUGCCAAUCUCUAUGGAGUAUUGGUAUGAGUGGACUAAGUGAGAAGAGUACAUGAUUGUAGGUUGCAACUUGCUAAUUAUGCGUCCAUGUUCAUGUGUGCGUGUCAUUAUUAGAUAA